ACAAGCAAACAAAAAUAAACAACAAAAAAAGUUAAAUUUCAAAACUGGUUACAAGAAAACUAAAGAAAAUCGGAUCCUAGUCCAGACUGCCUACCUGAGGGCUGAUGGAAGCAUCAAGGAAGCAUACUAUCAGGUGAAAGGUUAAUUUCUCUCUGCAGCCUUUUAUUUAAUCAGUCUCUUAGUUCAAACAGAGUGUGCCAAGAAUGCUGUAGGUUCUCAGGAAACAGGGCUUAAUGGCACUGAUGAUGGCACUGAGAGAUGCUAACAUCCUCAUCGUUUUAGACUAAGUAGGUAAGUUGGAAAGCCACUCUCUUAGUAAUGAGGGCGAGGGGCUUGGAAGAAGUUAUUAUUGGUGUUUCUACGAUUCUCAGCCAUUUUGGGAUACAAGAUGAGUCUCAUUGGCAGGUGUUAGAUUAUUAGGAAAAUUAAGCAGAUGGCACUGGCAAGCUACACCUCCCCUUUCCUCAGCUGCCAGGAAUUCUUACCCUCAAGCUUAGCUUCACAUAUGCUUGUUUAAAAGCUCUUGCCAUUUCAAGGAAACAGAAUCCGUGUCAUCAUUCAAGCAUGCCCAUGACUAUGAACCAAUAGCAUUAUCCACAUUUUCUCAGAGUGUUAAGCAAACACCUUUCUGUUUUCUGUGUGUCACCCAGAACCUGCCACAGUGCAUUCCACCGAGGCGGCUUAUGUCACUGACUCAGAGGAGCAAAGUGAGUGUAUCUCAGCAGUUGUUUGCAAUGUUCAGUGUACCGUAAUAUGGAUCUGAUAUCCUGCGUCAUCACACGGUCAAGAGCAGCCAAGCCUCCAGUCUCUACACAAUGAAAUCAUAGAAAAUAGCAUUUUCAAGAAUGGUGUUUCAUAUCGUCUCAACCAGUCGACUUUGCUCAUCAACCGGGCUUCAAACAAGCCAUGAUCUCUCAGGUCAUCCAUGAGGCCAACCUGCAUCAUCUGUCUUCCCGUGUGAAAACUCAACCCGUGACAAAGAAAUUACUGAACUGUUUCUUAGCAUUUAAAGGAGCAUCCAAGACAUUCCUUUUUCUUUCUAACAUAAAAAAAGCCAUAGAUGUGUA